GACGAACGCUGGCGGCGUGCUUAACACAUGCAAGUCGAACGGAAAGGCCCUGCUUUUGUGGGGUGCUCGAGUGGCGAACGGGUGAGUAACACGUGAGCAACCUGCCCUUGACUUUGGGAUAACUUCAGGAAACUGGGGCUAAUACCGGAUAGGAGCUCCUGCUGCAUGGUGGGGGUUGGAAAGUUUCGGCGGUUGGGGAUGGACUCGCGGCUUAUCAGCUUGUUGGUGGGGUAGUGACUUACCAAGGCUUUGACGGGUAGCCGGCCUGAGAGGGUGACCGGCCACAUUGGGACUGAGAUACGGCCCAGACUCCUACGGGAGGCAGCAGUGGGGAAUAUUGCACAAUGGGCGGAAGCCUGAUGCAGCAACGCCGCGUGCGGGAUGACGGCCUUCGGGUUGUAAACCGCUUUCGCCUGUGACGAAGCGUGAGUGACGGUAAUGGGUAAAGAAGCACCGGCUAACUACGUG
rnacentral:rRNA from 1 species